GGUUAAGCGACUAAGCGUACACGGUGGAUGCCCUGGCAGUCAGAGGCGAUGAAGGACGUGCUAAUCUGCGAAAAGCGUCGGUAAGGUGAUAUGAACCGUUAUAACCGGCGAUGUCCGAAUGGGGAAACCCAGUGCAAUUCGUUGCACUAUCGUUAACUGAAUACAUAGGUUAACGAGGCGAACCGGGGGAACUGAAACAUCUAAGUACCCCGAGGAAAAGAAAUCAACCGAGAUUCCCCCAGUAGCGGCGAGCGAACGGGGAGCAGCCCAGAGUCUGAAUCAGCUUGUGUGUUAGUGGAACGGUCUGGAAAGUCCGACGGUACAGGGUGAUAGUCCCGUACACCAAAAUGCACAGGCUGUGAACUCGAAGAGUAGGGCGGGACACGUGGUAUCCUGUCUGAAUAUGGGGGGACCAUCCUCCAAGGCUAAAUACUCCUGACUGACCGAUAGUGAACCAGUACCGUGAGGGAAAGGCGAAAAGAACCCCGGCGAGGGGAGUGAAAAAGAACCUGAAACCGUGUACGUACAAGCAGUGGGAGCACCUUCGGGUGUGACUGCGUACCUUUUGUAUAAUGGGUCAGCGACUUAUAUUCUGUAGCAAGGUUAACCGUAUAGGGGAGCCGCAGGGAAACCGAGUCUUAACUGGGCGUUAAGUUGCAGGGUAUAGACCCGAAACCCGGUGAUCUAGCCAUGGGCAGGUUGAAGGUUGGGUAACACUAACUGGAGGACCGAACCGACUAAUGUUGAAAAAUUAGCGGAUGACUUGUGGCUGGGGGUGAAAGGCCAAUCAAACCGGGAGAUAGCUGGUUCUCCCCGAAAGCUAUUUAGGUAGCGCCUCGUGAACUCAUCUUCGGGGGUAGAGCACUGUUUCGGCUAGGGGGUCAUCCCGACUUACCAACCCGAUGCAAACUACGAAUACCGAAGAAUGUUAUCACGGGAGACACACGGCGGGUGCUAACGUCCGUCGUGAAGAGGGAAACAACCCAGACCGCCAGCUAAGGUCCCAAAGUCAUGGUUAAGUGGGAAACGAUGUGGGAAGGCACAGACAGCCAGGAUGUUGGCUUAGAAGCAGCCAUCAUUUAAAGAAAGCGUAAUAGCUCACUGGUCGAGUCGGCCUGCGCGGAAGAUGUAACGGGGCUAAACCAUGCACCGAAGCUGCGGCAGCGACACUAUGUGUUGUUGGGUAGGGGAGCGUUCUGUAAGCCUGCGAAGGUGUGCUGUGAGGCAUGCUGGAGGUAUCAGAAGUGCGAAUGCUGACAUAAGUAACGAUAAAGCGGGUGAAAAGCCCGCUCGCCGGAAGACCAAGGGUUCCUGUCCAACGUUAAUCGGGGCAGGGUGAGUCGACCCCUAAGGCGAGGCCGAAAGGCGUAGUCGAUGGGAAACAGGUUAAUAUUCCUGUACUUGGUGUUACUGCGAAGGGGGGACGGAGAAGGCUAUGUUAGCCGGGCGACGGUUGUCCCGGUUUAAGCAUGUAGGCUGGUUAUCCAGGCAAAUCCGGAUAAUCAAGGCUGAGGUGUGAUGACGAGGCACUACGGUGCUGAAGUAACAAAUGCCCUGCUUCCAGGAAAAGCCUCUAAGCAUCAGGUAACAUUAAAUCGUACCCCAAACCGACACAGGUGGUCAGGUAGAGAAUACCAAGGCGCUUGAGAGAACUCGGGUGAAGGAACUAGGCAAAAUGGUGCCGUAACUUCGGGAGAAGGCACGCUGGUGUGUAGGUGAAGUCCCUGCGGAUGGAGCUGAGACCAGUCGAAGAUACCAGCUGGCUGCAACUGUUUAUUAAAAACACAGCACUGUGCAAACACGAAAGUGGACGUAUACGGUGUGACGCCUGCCCGGUGCCGGAAGGUUAAUUGAUGGGGUUAUCCGUAAGGAGAAGCUCUUGAUCGAAGCCCCGGUAAACGGCGGCCGUAACUAUAACGGUCCUAAGGUAGCGAAAUUCCUUGUCGGGUAAGUUCCGACCUGCACGAAUGGCGUAAUGAUGGCCAGGCUGUCUCCACCCGAGACUCAGUGAAAUUGAACUCGCUGUGAAGAUGCAGUGUACCCGCGGCAAGACGGAAAGACCCCGUGAACCUUUACUAUAGCUUGACACUGAACAUUGAGCCUUGAUGUGUAGGAUAGGUGGGAGGCUUUGAAGCGUGGACGCCAGUCUGCGUGGAGCCAACCUUGAAAUACCACCCUUUAAUGUUUGAUGUUCUAACGUUGGCCCCUGACCGGGGUUGCGGACAGUGUCUGGUGGGUAGUUUGACUGGGGCGGUCUCCUCCCAAAGCGUAACGGAGGAGCACGAAGGUUAGCUAAUCCUGGUCGGACAUCAGGAGGUUAGUGCAAUGGCAUAAGCUAGCUUGACUGCGAGCGUGACGGCGCGAGCAGGUGCGAAAGCAGGUCAUAGUGAUCCGGUGGUUCUGAAUGGAAGGGCCAUCGCUCAACGGAUAAAAGGUACUCCGGGGAUAACAGGCUGAUACCGCCCAAGAGUUCAUAUCGACGGCGGUGUUUGGCACCUCGAUGUCGGCUCAUCACAUCCUGGGGCUGAAGUAGGUCCCAAGGGUAUGGCUGUUCGCCAUUUAAAGUGGUACGCGAGCUGGGUUUAGAACGUCGUGAGACAGUUCGGUCCCUAUCUGCCGUGGGCGCUGGAGAAUUGAGGGGGGCUGCUCCUAGUACGAGAGGACCGGAGUGGACGCAUCACUGGUGUUCGGGUUGUCAUGCCAAUGGCACUGCCCGGUAGCUAAAUGCGGAAGAGAUAAGUGCUGAAAGCAUCUAAGCACGAAACUUGCCCCGAGAUGAGUUCUCCCUGAGACUUUAAGUCUCCUGAAGGAACGUUAAAGACGAUGACGUUGAUAGGCCGGGUGUGUAAGCGCAGCGAUGCGUUGAGCUAACCGGUACUAAUGAACCGUGAGGCUUAACCUU
rnacentral:rRNA from 1 species